UAAAGUUGUUGCAGUUAAAAAGCUCGUAGUUGAAUUUUAAGCCUGACCGGGCGGUCCGUCUCUGGCGAGUACUGUCCUGCUGUCGGGUCCAUCCUUCUGGUGAGCCGAUAUGUCCUUUGUUGGGUGUGUCUGGGAACCAGAACCAUUACCUUGAAAAAAUUAGAGUGUUUAAAGCGGGCUUUUGCUUGAAUAGAUUAGCAUGGAAUAAUAAAAUAGGACGUUGGUUCUAUUUUGUUGGUCUAGGACCACCGUAAUGAUUAAUAGGG
rnacentral:rRNA from 1 species